GGCCUCCUGGUGCUAACGACAUGCUGUGUUCUUACACUGACUGUAUAAAAAGAGGAGGAAGAGCAGACCUUCCCAUGUACACCUCAGCUCAGGUCUCCGGCCUGGCCUGUAUUGUGAAUGAGGGGACAUGG